UUGCUGGCAAUAUGCUCAGAGGUCCCAUGUCUGGAAGCUUCAGUAUAUUGCAGAGCUGGAGGGUAGAGUUCAGGCAUUAAAGUCAGAAGGGGUAGAAGUGUCUACUGAAAUGGAAUUUCUUACCCAGUAGAAUAUUAUGCUAGACCUGGAAAAUAAAGCUUUGAAGCAAAUAAUGGAGAGUCUAGCAUAGGAGAAACUAAUUAAACGCUUUUAACGGGAGAUGUUUGAGAGGGAAAUUAGUCAUCUCAGAUCACUAUAUCAGCAGCAGCAGCAACAGGCUCAUGCUCUUGUUUGCAGUAACAGCAGAGACCUUGAUGCACAGUUUGCCAACUUAUCUCAGAAACACAAAGACCCCAACUGGGGCCGGGAUGCUCUCUCUGAAACACAAAGACCGAGAUACUUGUGACAUUAACACAAGCUCUAGAUUCCCAAGCCAAGGAGUCUGCUCGCUCUCCGCAUUCGCAGGUGCCACCGCCUCCCCGCGUGCCGCGGACCAGGAGAACCUCCACCCGAACCUCGCCUCCUCGCCGCCGCCUCGCUGCACCACACCCAACGGCUGAGGCUGCUGUUCCGCUGCCGCCAGCCACCACCAAGGAGGAUUGCGGUGCGGCCGCCGCACCAGCCGACAACGAUCCCUCUAUCAAGGUACCUUAGCAGUCUGCAUUGGCCAUACAUUUUUGUUAUCUUUAUUCCAUAUUUAUCUUCAAUUAAUGUGGCUGGUCAAAUAUAAUUUUUAUUUUAUCAAGAUUCUUAAAAAUUGUUCAUUUCAAAUUGUAUUAUGCUGCAAUUGGUAAUGCUCUGCAAUAGCAAUAGCAAUGGCAAUGGCAAUGGCAAUAGGUAGCCUUUUUCUAUUCAAAUCCAGUAAACCGGUUGCCGUCCAAACAUGGUAAUUUACCUUUUGUUAUUAUUGUUCUUCAUAUUUUGAUUGCCGAAAGGUUGAACCAUUGAAAUAGUGUGUGGAAGGUAGGCUUAUGUGGGUUCCAUGUUCCAUCAGAUUGCUAAUUCUGAAGAUAUGCAUGUGUGGAUUCACAGGUAGUACAAAAUUUUAAAAGAUAUGCCAAUUUUGAAUUUUUCUAUGGAUCAAAAUUACUGAAGGCAAGAAUGCCUCUCUACCUUCUGCAUCACGUAGGGCAUGCAUGAUACCUGCAACACUAUUUUACUUACCCAAAUUCUAUGUUUCGAUUGUUGACACUUUACUUUUGGAUGUUGUUUUUCAAAUUAUAUGGGCAAUACAUGCAACCGUUGUGGUUACCUGAAUAUUCUUUUUCUUUUAAAGCAAAUUUGGCAUAAUCCAAUCUCAGCGCUAUUUUUGUGCAACUGGUUACAAGUCCAUUUUUCUCUAAUUCUUUUUGUUUCUCCAAAGACGCAGGAGAACUGCGCUUCAUUAUAUUAAGAAGAGAGGGAAAAAUUCCCCAAAAAAAAUACAAGAGAAACACACUCAGCUCAACCAGACACACACCACCACACGCAACUUAGCACCCAUUCACUCACACACACACACCCACUAAACCCCAGGAUUCCAAAGAAACAGACUCGCCCGUGACAGGAAAGGACGACCUAAAAACUUUCUUUCUAAUCUACGGAUGUAGGGGCUAUUAAGAAUGAAAUUCCUCGAGCCCCUGACAUCGACAACAACUUCCUCUCCUCGCUGGCCAGGGUAAGAGCCCGUGCCACAUCAGGAGAGGCUCCAUCAAAAACACAUCUGUUUCGCUGAGUCCAUAUUGUCCAGGCCCCAAGAAUUGUAAGAGAGUUGAACCCUUGUAACAGCAAACCACUUAUAUCAUUACUGGCCCUUUCCCACCAAUCAAAGAAUGAUGUAUCAGAAAACUAGGGGGAGAAGGUUCGCAGGCCAACUUGUGAAAAGAAAUGAAACCAGAAUUCCCUUGCAAAGGCGCAGCCCACAAGGAGAUGGUUAAUCGACUCUGGUGCCUGAUCACACAUAGGACAGCUUUCAGGAUGAGGUAGGGCACGACGCUCAAGGCGAUCAGCAGUCCAGCAUCGUUCAUGGGCAACAAGCCACAUGAAGAAAGAGCAUUUACCAGGAGCCCAAGUCUUCCAUAUUUUUUCCCAAGAACUGAAAAUAGUUGAUCCCAAGAAGAAACCCUCAUAAGCUGUCUUAGCAGAAUACUGGCCUUGGUUAGGGUAAAGCAGGAGCAAGGGAAAACAUGAAACAUCACUCUCGGUCUACUCAAGAAUGAAGAUGGCCACUCUAUAAAUCUAGAUUGUCAAACAUCAUCUUCUCUAUUACAGGAAGGAUGGUUGAGGCUCUGUCAACAUGCAGUUGAGGUAUUCUGGCCGCAAGAUAUAUGCCACCAAUGACACCUUGUUAUGUUUGGUGUUGAAAUAUGCUAGAGGGAGGCAAAGGACAAGUUCAAAGCCUGUGGAUAUACCUCAGACAACAAGAAGUAGGCUUGUAUGCUCAAGGAUGUUGCGCUUGAGGACACGUUGGAUGACAUAAUUGGGGACUUUCAGGAUCACAUUGAAGUAAGCAUGUAUGAAAUACGCCAGGAGUUCAAACACAAGAUUAAGGAGUUAACUAAAAUUCUUGACAAGAGGAUGGGGCCAGUGAAGAAGGGGAUGGGGCAAAUGAAGGAGGGGGAGGAGGAUUCUCACUAGAAGGGGACCAAGUACUGAAUGUAAAUAAAGAAAAUAUGGAUGGAGAUCUAAGUCUGAAUUGCCUGUUAAUGGUCGGAAUUGACCAAAUGAUUGUCUUCUUUUGUAGCGAAUGUCUCAUCCCUUCAUUGUUGCUCUAAUUAAAUGUCCAUGUAUUUCAUUAAUUAUAGCCAUAUUUGAUUUGAUUUGAUUCACUAAUUCAUUCGCUAAUAUGUAAGGAAAUAUAAAGAUUCCGUUCACUAA